GUUUUCGGUCUACAAAUCUUAUACAUAAGAUAUAUCAAAAUGACUUUGCAAGGAUAAUAAAACUACCGCUGGCUAAUGAUGCUCCUUCCUGUCCUAGAGUAAGGUCUCCCGUCUACUGGUUACCUGCAUCACAAAUGAGUCAUGAGUAACUAGUUUACUCAGUGAGCCUAGUCCCGCACCCCAACGUAUAUUAGUAUUAUCUCGAGCAAUUAACUCCAUUUGUAUGCAGUAGAAAUAUAUUCCAUAACUAAUAAGAAUGCAUAUAUAAGGCCUAUCAUUCCAUCGAUGUGAAUCUUAUCUUAAGCAUCAUCUCCACGACACCCGCCAUACACUCAUUCUUAUAAUAUAUAUAUAUAUAGAUAUAUAUAUAUAUAUAGACUAAACCCGGAAAACCACCAAGGCUAACCGAGCCUAGCGGGGAAAUAAAUAUAAGCAUCAUCUCUAUUAGAUAUUCCAAUAUCGAACAUCUAACGCUGCAUGCAGUUAAACGGCCUCCAGGUGCGACCCCAUCAUCGUGUCUUUGUAUCUUUGUUCCGUAUCGCAGGAACAAUUCACGGUAAUGUGGGAACUUUCAGGAGAGUGAGUAUACAAUAAGACUUCACAUGAUUAAUACUCAUUUAUUUAAUACUAUACAUAUGUAUUAGUACUUGAGAACAGUACUAAGGUUGGAAUAACCUUAUUCAUCAUAAUAUUUAUUAAGUGUUUACACUAAGUAAACACCUCGCCAAUUCAAUAUUGAUCAAGAGACAAAGCCUAUAAAUCAUCAACAUUCAGUAUUGAUCAACCAUCUAUCUAGACUCACCUUUGAUUCUAUAAGAUUGGCUAAUCAAGACUAGACUCGAGCUCAAGUUAAUCUCACUCCACUUCCGGUACACUUGAGAUUCAAAACGGUCACAAUUAUCUGACUGAACCGACCACUCUCCUUGAUAUCUGAAUUCAAACCAAGUGACUGAGCGGCUACAAGGAGUGAGUGGACCGAUCUAGCAAAACUCCACAACCAAC